GCUACGGGAGGCAGCAGUGGGGAAUAUUGCACAAUGGGGGAAACCCUGAUGCAGCGACGCCGCGUGAGGGAUGAAGUAUUUCGGUAUGUAAAGCUCUAUCAGCAGGGAAGAAGAUGACGGUACCUGACUAAGAAGCCCCGGCUAACUACGUGCCAGCAGCCGCGGUAAUACGUCGGGGGCAAGCGUUAUCCGGAUUUACUGGGUGUAAAGGGGGAGUAGACGGCGAUGCAAGCCAGAUGUGAAAGCGCGGGGCUCAACCCCGGGACUGCAUUUGGAAAUGUGUGGCUGGAGUGUCGGAGAGGCAGGCGGAAUUCCUAGUGUAGCGGUGAAAUGCGUAGAUAUUAGGAGGAACACCAGUGGCGAAGGCGGCCUGCUGGACGAUGACUGACGUUGAGGCUCGAAAGCGUGGGGAGCAAACAGGAUUAGAUACCCCAGUAGUC
rnacentral:rRNA from 1 species